rnacentral:rRNA from 1 species
CCUACGGGUGGCUGCAGUGGGGAAUAUUGGACAAUGGGGGCAACCCUGAUCCAGCCAUGCCGCGUGUGUGAAGAAGGCCCUCGGGUUGUAAAGCACUUUCAGUGAGGAAGAACGCCUGGUGGUUAAUACCCAUCAGGAAAGACAUCACUCACAGAAGAAGCACCGGCUAACUCCGUGCCAGCAGCCGCGGUAAUACGGAGGGUGCGAGCGGUAAUCGGAAUUACUGGGCGUAAAGCGCGCGUAGGUGGCUUGAUAAGCCGGUUGUGAAAGCCCCGGGCUCAACCUGGGAACGGCAUCCGGAACUGUCAAGCUAGAGUGCAGGAGAGGAAGGUAGAAUUCCCGGUGUAGCGGUGAAAUGCGUAGAGAUCGGGAGGAAUACCAGUGGCGAAGGCGGCCUUCUGGACUGACACUGACACUGAGGUGCGAAAGCGUGGGUAGCAAACAGGAUUAGAUACCCUGGUAGUC